AAUCAAGCCUGGGCAAUGGCGGGUGCCCCUCCCCCAGCCUCGCUGCCGCCUUGCAGUUUGAUCUCAGACUGCUGUGCUAGCAAUCAACGAGACUCUGUGGGCGUAGGACCCUCCGAGCCAGGUGUGGGAUAUAAUCUCGUGGAGCGCCAUUUUUUAAGCCAGUCGGAAAAGCGCAGUAUUCGGGUGGGAGUGACCCGAUUUUCCAGGUGCCAUCCGUCACCCCUUUCUUUGACUCAGAAAGGGAACUCCCUGACCCCUUGCGCUUCCCAAGUGAGGCAAUGCCUCACCCUGCUUCGGCUCGCGCAUGGUGCGCGCACCCACUGACCUGCGCCCACUGUCUGGCACUCCCUAGUGAGAUGAACCCCGUACCUCAGAUGGAAAUGCAGAAAUCACCGUCUUCUGCGUCGCCCACGCUGGAAGCUGUAGACCGGAACUGUUCCUAUUCGGCCAUCUUGGCUCCUCCUCGCAGAUUGUUUUGCUUAUUGGUGUUUAAUUAAAAACCAAACAACUUUUCCUAUUAACUUGAUGCUACUUAUUAAUUGAAAUGAGGAGACUGACUCUGGAUAUUGGGAAAAUUUAUGGGCACAUACAGAGGAAAAGACAUGUGGGGACAUAAUGAGAGGACAGCCAUCUGCAAGCCAAGAAGAGAAUCCUCACCAGAAACCAACUUGACUGGAAUCUUGAUCUUGAACUUCUUGCUUCCAGAAUUAUGAGAAAAUAAAUUGUUGUUUAACCCACACAGUCUAUUGUACUUAGUUGUAGCAGUCUGAGAAGACUAAUACAUUGAUAAACUGGUCAGUUACAACAAUGAAUAUAUUAUUUAUACAUUAUAUAAAUGAUUAUAGUUUCUGUAUUAGCUUAGAUUUUGCAAAUUUGUCAAUAGCUUUGUCCAAGUUGAUUUUCUUUAUAUAUUCCUAUUUCAUAGACUAUAUUAGCUAGAUUUGUCAAUCUAUCUUACUCAUAAUGACUGAAGAACACUUUUAAAUUCAAUUUAAAAGGUUUUUGUCACAUAAAGCAACAAAUAUAAAACUAGAAAAAAUAUAAAUAUGAAUAUAAAUUUGAAGGAAAUUAAUAAAAAUCGUAUUGUACCAUAUAUUCCAGAAAUUUUAAACACUGAUGAAAACUUCAAGUGGUACCAAGGAAUGAGAGAAUUGAAGUAAUUCAAGUGUUAUAUUUCAUCUUUUCUAUCACUAGGUUGUCAUCAAUUAUUUCAAAUCUGUUUUUUUUUUUAUUGUAAUUAAACUUCUAAGUUCAGGG
ensembl:lncRNA LINC02428 long intergenic non-protein coding RNA 2428